rnacentral:rRNA from 1 species
UACGUAGGGGGCAAGCGUUGUCCGGAAUCAUUGGGCGUAAAGAGCGUGUAGGCGGCCUUACAGGUCAGCUGUGAAAACUCGAGGCUCAACCUCGAGACGUCGGUUGAAACCGUAUGGCUAGAGUCCGGAAGAGGAGAGUGGAAUUCCCGGUGUAGCGGUGAAAUGCGUAGAGAUCCGGAGGAACCCCAGAGGCGAAGGCGGCGUCCUGGCUCGAACCUGACACUCAGACACGACAGCAUGGGGAGCGAACGGG